ACCUCUGAGCCCUAGCUCCGAAAGCCACCACCUCUGCCAACCCUGACUCCACCUUGGACCUUCCGUGCCUCAUUCCACCAGCGUCACCUCUCAGGCCACAGCCUCCAUCCUGUUUCCUCUAUAUGACUACUCAGCUAACUUCAUUUCAAGCUUCUAAGACUGAUCACAGAUUUCCCAUCUAUCGGCUUCUUCCUUCUCCCUCCUAC